AGUGAGCUGUGAUCAUGCCACCGCACUCCAGCCCUGGCAACAGAGUAAGACCCUGAUUCUAAAAAAGGAAAAAGGUCACUCUCUACUCAAGUUCUACUUAUAUAACAGCAAUGCAGCUCUCUUCAUAAAGCUGGCUGUUGUGUAGUUUAUGUUGGGGAAUCAGUUCAUGGUUUAAAAAGUUCUGUCAAUGCAGAGAACAAGCCGGUGUGUUUUAUGGAGAGGCUGUUUAAUCUCCACUGUGAGACAGUAAAUAUUUGGCUGUUGCAUCAUCGUGAAGCUUAUGAUCACAGUCUGGCGCCAUCUCCCUCCUUGCCUGGAGUCUGAUCUGUCCCGGCCCAGUGUCCUCCAGGACCCUGGCCCCUCAUGCCUCCGUGCUUGCGCGUGUGCCAUUUCCUCUCUCCAGAGGACCUUUCCUGCCUAGGACUCAUGAUUGUCCCCUCCCUGGCAUUUUUUACACCUGGAGCAGCCAGAGGACGCAUGCAUGGCUCUUCGGAAGGUAAUUUAGGGAUCACCCAUGUAAGUUUCCUAAGGAUUUCUUUAACAUGGUUCUUCUGAUUCAGUCCGGCCAAUUAAAUCUAAAUCCACCCCUGAAAGCCAUCUGGUGUGGAUAACAAGCCCACAAAUGAGCAGUCAGCUUUUUGUGCCCUUUAGGGCCUGGGACAACCACGGGAUCUAAAAGGGGCUGGAACUAGAGGUCUUGAGCUCCUGUUCCUAAAAUCAUCUUCAUCCUAUAUCUGCAGCCUUCUCCUGCCACGGCAUGCACCCACACAUGCGAGCCUCCCGGGUACUGUCAUCCUGAAUUCUGAGACCAUCCAGCACUUCCUUUAGUUUUGCCCUGGUGCUGUUGACUUUUGUUUACUGAAGAGUGUGCUGGAGGCAGGACAAGGGACAUGGAAGGCUGCAAUUUAAGAGUCUAAAAGGUUUUAGAAUCCUGAAGGAGGUUUAACAAGCUGAAUUGAAGAAUAAUACCUUUCUCAACUGGAGAGAAUUUACAUGAUUGCAUUAUUGUUAAAAUUAACAUCUCAUCUAUUAAAAGCAUUUGUAGAUUAUCUUUGUACCUUCACUUUCUUUGUCUGCCUUACAUUAGGUCUCAGAGGUAGAUUGGUGGAGUCACCUGGAGUUUGUUGGUGACUUGGGGUUUGGCUGGCCUGUGGAGUCAGCCAGACUCUAGCUCUGAUCCAGAUUCUGCCCUUUAUCUCCUCUGUGCCCUUGGGAAAGUCAGUGAAACUUUCUGAGCCACAGUUUCUCCAAUAAGGAAAAACGACCGCCAACGGGGCUACCUGUUGAGCCCUACCUCCAACAGGGCUGCUGGGAGGAUUAGCCAAAGAGAUGUCUGUGAGGGAAACCAGCACAGACUCUGGCAUGGAGUAUGUACCCGGGGAUACCAGGACGAGGCCUGCCCCGAACGUGCAGGCCCACAUACGUGCAUACGUGUGGACGUGCACAUGCAUGCACACAGUGUGCACACAGGGUGAGGCACCGUGAAGCUGAGGCCGCACUUCUGGGCUUUCAGCCUUGGCAUUGUGGUUUCCAUCGCUGGGCCUGCUAUGAAGCCACGCUGCUUUUCAGAAAUACCUUCAGAAAUGAGAUUGGGAAACUUUAGUGAAAAACGUGUUGAUUGCCUGAGGCACUGCUCUGCCUCCGGGCUGUUUUCCUGGAGUGUGAUUUCCCCGUCAGAGUGCUGCAGUGGGCCAGGGACUUGUCUAGGGUGCCAUGGAGGCACAACUGUUGAUUAUGUUAAUAGGAUAAACAAACCUUCUUUGACACCAUAAAUAGCAGACGCUGUGCUUUCCUCCCCACCUCCUGGGCAGGGAAAAUAUUUGAAGCUGGAAGGAAUUGAGCCCUGAGCUUAAUACAGUUACAGACCCAGAAAGAAAACAAAGAUGGGUACAAAGAUGUGUUUUCAGGAGACAGAAAAUUGUGAAAUCAACCCAUCAGUCGGCCCAGGACUGGCUCACCUUGAGUGGCUCCUGGUACAGUGACUGCUGUGGAUGGCAGCCUGCAUGGUGGAUGGGAAAGCGGAGUUCGUGUGGGAGACAGAGCUCUCGCGAAGCUGUGCUGUUUUCUCUUAAGUAGGCUAGAAUGGAGGACAACUUACAGGUAGACCUAACUGCAACCUGUUGACAGUGAAGCUAAAGUCCGAACACACCCGUCACCUUUCAGAGGACAGACAGAAGCCAUCUUUAUAAUAGUGAUUUUGCACAGACCAAGGAGAGGCUAGGUCCAACCGUUUCAGCUGCCGCCAGGAAAAAGGGUCCAACUCCCUGGAGCACAUCAGAAGGUUAGACGUCAUGGCAGGUGAUGGUUUGUCUUUUUUUUUUUUUUUUUUUUUUAAUGUGCUCCUUUUAUUUUCCAAAUUUUCUAAAAU
rnacentral:lncRNA from 1 species